AAACAUUACAAGGAAAGGAAACAGACAGUGGAUGUUUCAGGGAUGAGGAUGAGGACAUUCUAACUCCACCACCAGCAUCUCAAGUACCACUUCCAUGGGUCUGUGCGACCUCUGCCUCGGGUCCUGAGUCAUUCUGAAUGCUGGCGCUGUGUCCCAUUCUCUAUCCUCGGCGGAAGUGGGUGGAUGGGCGCACGCUGCAUACACAGUUUCUAGGAAAUUGCAUUUCAUCCAUACUCCAUUACCGAACCUUCAAUCAGUGCUGGCGCCUAUAGUUUGCAGGUUUGCAAAUGUGGAUCCAACAGAUCUGUCUAUUUCGCUGCCUCUGUAAAAUGAUAAACUAUAAUCGCUAAUGCCGUGAAAGAUACUGCCAGGGAGCUGAGCAGUUCUUUCGGUUUUUAAAAUAGAUUGUCCUCAAUCCAUUUAGCUCCAAAUGUCAUCACAGUUACAUGAUUGUAAUGUUGAUGUCAAUUAAAUGCUGUGUUCUGGACAAGA